rnacentral:rRNA from 1 species
UACGUAGGGGGCAAGCGUUGUCCGGAUUUACUGGGCGUAAAGGGCGCGUAGGCGGCCACCGCAAGUCAGUUGUGAAAUCUCUGGGCUUAACCCAGAAAGGUCAACUGAUACUGCGGGGCUAGAGUGCAGAAGGGGCAACUGGAAUUCUCGGUGUAGCGGUGAAAUGCGUAGAUAUCGAGAGGAACACCUGCGGCGAAGGCGGGUUGCUGGGCUGACACUGACGCUGAGGCGCGAAAGCUAGGGGAGCGAACGGG